rnacentral:rRNA from 1 species
UACGUAGGGUGCAGGCGUUAAUCGGAAUUACUGGGCGUAAAGCGUGCGCAGGCGGUUUGCUAAGACAGGUGUGAAAUCCCCGGGCUUAACCUGGGAACUGCGCUUGUUACUGGCAGGCUUGAGUGUGGCAGAGGGGGGUGGAAUUCCACGUGUAGCAGUGAAAUGCGUAGAGAUGUGGAGGAACACCGAUGGCGUAGGCAGCCCCCUGGGCUAACACUGACGCUCAUGCACGAAAGCGUGGGGAGCAAACAGG